UAGCAAGCCAAAGCGAACUGAUAUUUCCAAACAAUUAAGAAUAAUUUGUUUCCCAUAGUCAUAGCCUUUCUAUAAAGUAGUUUGAAGCGGUGAUAAUAAUUUAGAGCCGGUUUUACACUACUAGUGCCCGCAAGUUGAAUUCCCAACCGUUAGACUGUUAGAGUACCGCCAAUCAUUGUGAAGAAGUACUAGACUACACAGGCCGCUCGAGUCCAGCACAUGCAGUAGUUCCAGAACGAAGCAAUUUUGAUUAUAUACAGGAACUAAACGUAAGUGCUCAUAAAGUUCAUUGUCAAUUCUAUGUCACUUCUUGCACAGGGGUUCACCCCACACUUUUCAAACGGAACAGAUGCUAUGAACUAAUAAUGAAUUAAAAUAAUUUACCCCCUAUCACACAAAUAGUUAACGUUAAGAAU